rnacentral:rRNA from 1 species
UACGGAAGGCAGCAGUGGGGAAUAUUGCACAAUGGGCGCAAGCCUGAUGCAGCCAUGCCGCGUGUAUGAAAAAGGCCUUCGGGUUGUAAAGUACUUUCAGUCGUGAGGAAGGUGUUAAGGUUAAUAACCUUAGCAAUUGACGUUAGCGACAGAAGAAGCACCGGCUAACUCCGUGCCAGCAGCCGCGGUAAUACGGAGGGUGCGAGCGUUAAUCGGAAUUACUGGGCGUAAAGGGCACGCAGGCGGUUAAUUAAGUUGGAUGUGAAAUCCCCGGGCUUAACCUGGGAAUGGCAUUCAAGACUGGUUAGCUAGAGUCUUGUAGAGGGGGUAGAAUUCCAUGUGUAGCGGUGAAAUGCGUAGAGAUGUGGAGGAAUACCGGUGGCGAAGGCGGCCCCUGGACAAAGACUGACGCUCAUGUGACGAAAGCGGUGGGGAGACAAACGAGGAUUAGACUA